rnacentral:tRNA from 1 species
CGUGGGCGUGCUGCACGGACUGCUGGAGCGCCUGGGCUCCUUCGGUGUCGACACCGCCGAGGAACUGCGCCGGUUCCGCUCGGCGCCCACCGC